CGAUGAACCGGCUUCGGCUGGGGAUUAGUGGCGAACGGGUGAGUAACACGUGGGCAAUCUGCCCUGCACUCUGGGACAAGCCCUGGAAACGGGGUCUAAUACCGGAUACGACCACUAGGGGCAUCCCUUGGUGGUGGAAAGCUCCGGCGGUGCAGGAUGAGCCCGCGGCCUAUCAGCUUGUUGGUGAGGUAACGGCUCACCAAGGCGACGACGGGUAGCCGGCCUGAGAGGGCGACCGGCCACACUGGGACUGAGACACGGCCCAGACUCCUACGGGAGGCAGCAGUGGGGAAUAUUGCACAAUGGGCGCAAGCCUGAUGCAGCGACGCCGCGUGAGGGAUGACGGCCUUCGGGUUGUAAACCUCUUUCAGCAGGGAAGAAGCGUAAGUGACGGUACCUGCAGAAGAAGCGCCGGCUAACUACGUGCCAGCAGCCGCGGUAAUACGUAGGGCGCGAGCGUUGUCCGGAAUUAUUGGGCGUAAAGAGCUCGUAGGCGGCUUGUCGCGUCGGUUGUGAAAGCCCGGGGCUUAACCCCGGGUCUGCAGUCGAUACGGGCAGGCUAGAGUUCGGUAGGGGAGAUCGGAAUUCCUGGUGUAGCGGUGAAAUGCGCAGAUAUCAGGAGGAACACCGGUGGCGAAGGCGGAUCUCUGGGCCGAUACUGACGCUGAGGAGCGAAAGCGUGGGGAGCGAACAGGAUUAGAUACCCUGGUAGUCCACGCCGUAAACGGUGGGCACUAGGUGUGGGCAACAUUCCACGUUGUCCGUGCCGCAGCUAACGCAUUAAGUGCCCCGCCUGGGGAGUAC
rnacentral:rRNA from 1 species